rnacentral:snoRNA from 1 species
CCAAGUGAGGAUACAAAACAAUUUAUCUGACACCUCUUAUGCUAGGACACACUUUCGCGUGUGUUCGAUGAUCUAUGUUGAUUUCUGAUG